rnacentral:rRNA from 1 species
GAUUAACGCUGGCGGCGUGCCUAACACAUGCAAGUCGAACGAGGUAGCAAUACCUAGUGGCAGACGGGUGAGUAACGCGUGGUCAACCUACCGUUGAGUGGGGGAUAACUAGCCGAAAGGUUAGCUAAUACCGCAUACGUCUCCGAGGGGCAUCCCUUGGCGAUAAAAGGAGCAAUCCGCUCGAUGACGGGACCGCGUCCCAUUAGCUAGAUGGUGGGGUAACGGCCUACCAUGGCACCGANGGGUAGCUGGUUUGAGAGAGCGACCAGCCACACUGGGACUGAGAAACGGCCCAGACUCCUACGGGAGGCAGCAGUGAGGAAUUUUCCGCAAUGGGCGCAAGCCUGACGGAGCGACGCCGCGUGUGGAAGAA